rnacentral:rRNA from 1 species
CCAGACUCCUACGGGAGGCAGCAGUGGGGAAUAUUGGGCAAUGGGCGCAAGCCUGACCCAGCAACGCCGCGUGAAGGAAGAAGGCUUUCGGGUUGUAAACUUCUUUUCUGGGGGACGAAGAAAGUGACGGUACCCCAGGAAUAAGCCACGGCUAACUACGUGCCAGCAGCCGCGGUAAUACGUAGGUGGCAAGCGUUAUCCGGAUUUAUUGGGUGUAAAGGGCGUGUAGGCGGGAAUGCAAGUCAGAUGUGAAAACUAUGGGCUCAACCCAUAGCCUGCAUUUGAAACUGUUUUUCUUGAGUACUGGAGAGGCAGACGGAAUUCCUAGUGUAGCGGUGAAAUGCGUAGAUAUCAGGAGGAACACCGGUGGCGAAGGCGGCCUGCUGGACUGCAACUGACGUUGAGGCCCGAAAGCGUGGGGAGCAAACAGGAUUAGAUACCCCAGUAUC